AAUAUCCAUCUCGUAUGGAUUAAAGCUUUUAUGCGCUUUUGGGGAGGGGCCUGCGUAACAUUAGCUUGUUGGUGAGGUAAAAGCUCACCAAGGCUUCGAUGUUUAACUGGUUUGAGAGGAUGACCAGUCACACUGGGACUGAGAUACGGCCCAGACUCCUACGGGAGGCAGCAGUAAGGAAUCUUCCACAAUGGGGCAACCCUGAUGAAGCAAUACCGCGUGCAGGAUGAAGCGUUUCGGCGUGUAAACUGCUUUUAUCACCGAAGAUUAUGACUGUAGGUGAAGAAUAAGGACCGGCUAACUACGUG
rnacentral:rRNA from 1 species